rnacentral:rRNA from 1 species
UACGUAGGCGGAAAAUUAAGUCAAUAGUGAAAUCCUGCAGCGUAACUGUAGAACUGUUAUUGAUACUGGUUUUCUUGAAUAUAGUUGAGGUAGGCGGAAUGUGUAAUGUAGCGGUGAAAUGCUUAGAUAUUACACAGAACACCGAUUGCGAAGGCAGCUUACUAAGCUAUGAUUGACGCUGGGGUACGAAAGCGUGGGGAGCGAACAGGAUUAGAUACCCUGGUAGUCC